GACGAACGCUGGCGGCGUGCUUAACACAUGCAAGUCGAACGAUGAAGCCCAGCUUGCUGGGUGGAUUAGUGGCGAACGGGUGAGUAACACGUGGGCAACCUGCCCCAAACUCUGGGAUAACUCCUCGAAAGAGGUGCUAAUACCGGAUACGAACUAGACAGACAUCUGUACUAGUUGGAAAGUUUUUCGGUUUGGGAUGGGCCCGCGGCCUAUCAGCUUGUUGGUGAGGUAACGGCUCACCAAGGCUACGACGGGUAACCGGCCUGAGAGGGCGACCGGUCACACUGGGACUGAGACACGGCCAGACUCCUACGGGAGGCAGCAGUGGGGAAUAUUGCGCUAUGGGCGAAAGCCUGACGCAGCGACGCCGCGUGAGGGAUGAAGGUCUUCGGAUCGUAAACCUCUUUCAGUAGGGACGAAGCGAAAGUGACGGUACCUAAAGAAGAAGCACCGGCUAACUACGUGCCAGCCGCCGCGGUAA
rnacentral:rRNA from 1 species